CAGGACGAACGCUGGCGGCGUGCCUAAUACAUGCAAGUCGAACGGUCUUUCUAUGGAAGCUUGCUUCCACUGAGAAGAUAGUGGCGAACGGGUGAGUAACACGUGGGUAACCUGCCCAUAAGAGGGGGAUAACAUCCGGAAACGGGUGCUAAUACCGCAUAGUUUUCUUGAUCGCAUGAUCGGGAAAGGAAAGACGGCCUUUGUGCUGUCGCUUAUGGAUGGACCCGCGGCGUAUUAGUUAGUUGGUGAGGUAACGGCUCACCAAGACGAUGAUACGUAGCCGACCUGAGAGGGUGAUCGGCCACAUUGGGACUGAGACACGGCCCAAACUCCUACGGGAGGCAGCAGUAGGGAAUCUUCCGCAAUGGACGAGAGUCUGACGGAGCAACGCCGCGUGAGUGAAGAAGGUUUUUCCGGAUCGUAAAACUCUGUUGUCAGAGAAGAACAAGUUGGAGAGUAACUGCUCCAGCCUUGACGGUAUCUGACCAGAAAGCCACGGCUAACUACGUGCCAGCAGCUGC
rnacentral:rRNA from 1 species